GGCUUGUGGAACGUGACUACAGUAUCUAAUUAGAGAGGUUAAGAUACCCCGGUUUCGGUGUACGUGUACGGGUAUAGCAUGAUUUUGGUUAGCAAUAUUUUCGUCGAUGCCUGUACCUUUACUCGUAAUUAAGGUGCACAUUUUUCGCAUUAUAUCAUUGUCUAUUGCAAGAAAACAGAAAAAGUAUGAUCGAAUUACAGACAUCAGUAAAACAAGAUGACACUACUCGUACUCGUACACCGAAACCAGGGUAUCUUAACCUCUCUAUUGAUAGUCCAAACACUCCGUUUGCAUGUACAUCGUGCUUUACGCGCUUAGACAAUCUUAAUCGGAUUAGGUGUAUAUGCAUAACAAAGAUUUCAGUGAAGCGCGCAUUCACAAUGAAGUGUUCAUUGAUUAUACAGGUUCCCUAGGACUUGUAAAGUCGGUAAUACACACAGUUUUAUUUGCUCGUCUCUAUACGCAACUUUGCCAAUUUUUACCAUGUCAAGUACACCUGUUCAAAGGCUAGUAUGCUAUAGCUUUUGGAGAAGUGCGCGCGUGUCAUAGAAAAAAUUGGCAAAGUUGCAUAUAGACAUAGAUAUCUUAUAUACACUAGAUAGUGCAUCUAAUUAUUCUGCAAUUCAAAAAUUUAAGCCGUGAUUGCAGUCUCAGGUCGUUCCCAUGAAAUGAGAGAAGAUUCGUAUAUUUCCUAUUUCUUAAACAGGGGACUUGAAUAUUAAGUUAACUGAC